rnacentral:rRNA from 1 species
UAUACGGGAGGCAGCAGUAGGGUAAUCUUCGCAAUGGACGAUUAGUCUGACGGAGCAACGCCGCGUGAGUGAUGAAGGCUUUCGGUGUCGUAAAACUCUGUUGUUAGGGAAGAACAAGUGCUAGUUGAAUAAGCUGGCACCUCGACGGUACCUAACCAGUUAGCCACGGCUAACUACGUGCCAGCAGCCGCGGUAAUACGUAGGUGGCAAGCGUUAUCCGGAAUCAUUGGGCGUAAAGCGCGCGCAGGUGGUUUCUUAAGUCUGAUGUGAAAGCCCACGGCUCAACCGUGGAGGGUCAUUGGAAACUGGGAGACUUGAGUGCAGAAGAGGUUAGUGGAAUUCCAUGUGUAGCGGUGAAAUGCGUAGAGAUAUGGAGGAACACCAGUGGCGAAGGCGACUUUCUGGUCUGUAACUGACACUGAGGCGCGAAAGCGUGGGGAGCAUACAGGAUUAGAUACCCUGGUAGUCCACGCCGUAAACGAUGAGUGCUAAGUGUUAGAGGGUUUCCGCCCUUUAGUGCUGAAGUUAACGCAUUAAGCACUCCGCCUGGGGAGUACGGCCGCAAGGCUGAAACUCAAAGGAAUUGACGGGGGCCCGCACAAGCGGUGGAGCAUGUGGUUUAAUUCGAAGCAACGCGAAGAACCUUACCAGGUCUUGACAUCCUCUGAUAACCCUAGAGAUAGGGCU